ensembl:lncRNA
CCAAAGGAGCGUGGAUAUUUUUAUUAAGUAAUAAUACCAUGCUUUCCACUUUACUCUUGCUUAAAGCUUAGAGUCAGAUCAAUCCCUGAAUCACUAAUAGUUAAUGUUCCAGUGAUUGUGCUGGCUGCACUGACCCAUUGUUUGGAAAGAAUUUGUGAAUUAUUUGGGGUUUGUGUUUUGCCUAAAAGUGAUAUUAUUUCCAAUUUUUUGUUGUUUAUAAAUUUUACAUGUGACAAAAAGUCUGCUUUUCCAGCAUGAGCACACUGGGGCCCUUUACUGAUUGACACUUGAGGCUCCAGCAGCUAACAGUGCUCACAUGACUCCCAAACAUGAGGCUUCUUUGCUCAGCAGUGAGUAGUUUUAAGUGUUUAGACAUUGGUAAUCCAAUGCAUUGGCUGUAGAAACUCUGUUAACCAGAACACUGUCACCCGACCGAGCCCAACACAGGCUUACCACAUUGGAGGUGAGCGAAGCCUCAGUCCCAGUGACAGGGCUGUCUCCAAGGCACAGAUGUUUGAUAAGGAAGGGGACUUUCUAAUGGCAAGUCUUGGCGCUGGGUUUUGGCUGAGGGCUUCUGUCUGGGGUUGUCAGGUCCAUACUUAGAGUCUGUGAGCAUCUGUUGAUUCAGAUUUGAACGGCUUGUUAAAUUAGCAGUAAAUAUCAGUGGGACUGCAGGAGGCAACUGAGCAUCUAGUGCUGUUAACUUGUGUUGAAGAGGCCAGUGUUCCCACAAUUCUGAGUUGUAAGCAUAGAUAAUGUUCUAGUCCUUGGGUCCCUUUAUUACUGUAAGAUAGGUUUUGAGAUAUGCCAUAGGAAGGUUGCUCUCCAAAAACACAAUGCCAUGUGGAGAAUGCCAUCUCAUUGGCAGUUCAGUCAGAGAGAGCAGGCUGAAGUGCCCACUUGACACAUGCAUUCACUGACACCCUCGUUGUUUAGAAAGUGAAGAAUCUCUAGCUGUGAACCCACAGCUACCAUCCCACUUGCACCAUUCCAUGUGGCCCCUCUCCGCUACCAGCAGAUACCUGUGACAUGAGUGCUGCUCUCCAGGACCCACCCUGUGUUCCAGGCAUGCAUGUGACAUGACCAAAGACCAUACUCUGUCAACAAGGCCCUUUAACCUAACUCUGUACCUCAGUAAAUGCAAUGGGAAAGGGUGUUUACUAUAGGUGACUUUUUAUUUAGGGUUAGUUUCACAGCCAUUAAAGCACAAGUCAAAAUAGCCAGUUGAAUUUUCACUAUGCAUGUGUGUAGUUUAGACGUGGCACUAUUGUGUAUUAUAUUGCAGAGUAUCUUAUUGCCAAGAAAAUAACUCCAAGAAAUGUAUUAUGUCACACCCCAGUCUUAUUUCCCUGCAUAUUCUCAAAACACGGCAGUAUUGACCUUUUCUUUUACUGUAUAUAGGUAUCAAAUCAUCUUAUUGGAGGUGAGAUGAAUACAAAGAAUUACACUAAAGCCUCUAGAAAAUUUUGGAAGUGUAGGGGGAUGUGGGCAUCUCAUGCAUCUUAGAGUAAAGCAUCCAUCUUCUAGGAAGCCUCUUAGGACAGUGUCAGCAGUUCAUGUUCUAGUGCUUUCCUGAAAUGUUUUAUCUAUGUAAUAGGAUUUGCUACAUAACUGAACACAGAUAUAUUCUGAAUCUGAAAUUUUUGCUCAGACACUAUUUGUGUUUGUUUCAUAUGAAUAUUUUAGUAAUACUAAGAGGUCAUGUUUAAAUUUACUUUUUAAAAGUUGCAUGGCUCUGAUUGGUGUGACUGACACUUACUGGUUUUUUAGAAACUGGGGCAAAGGCAGUCUGGUGUUGCCCCAGGGCUGCAUUUCAGGAAGGCAAAGUCAUGGAAAUAAGAUAGCACCACUGAACUGUGUAGUCAGCGGACACUGAGUGACACAUGAGAGCAUGUUACCCAUUUUGUCACCAAAGCUGACUCAGGCUUCCUCUGCCCUCAGCCCCUGAUCAUUCCAGGCAACACAGUUUUCUUCAGGGUCCUUUCAGAAUUCCCAGGCGGGAACCAACCACAACAGCUGACAAAGCAGCUGUCCCCAAAAGUGACAGGGCAAUCUCUUUCCUGUCUUGGAAUAGAUUUGGCCUUAGAGAAGAGGCAAAGCAUUUGGCAGGGUUGAAAAUAAUCUGAGAGGAGCCCACACUUAAGCAUUACCCUCAUGCCACUUCUGCAGGCCCUAGUAGUGGCUGGCCUCAGGGGCACCUGGCUGUCAGUCAUGUGAGGAGCUGGCACUGCUAGGGACUUUAGAGAAAUGUAAAGAGAAUAGCAAUUCAUUGUACCAAUAGAACACAGGUUAGGGUAACCAAAUUCACAAGUAACUUAUUGUCAUUAUGCAUAUGAAUGCUAAAUACCGGCACAAAUUGACCCACUUCCCUAUAGGACGUGAAGUUAGCCCCAGAUGAUCCAAGAACAUUAACUGGAAGGUCAGGUUAACCAAGGAACGUAGCUUACCAGCUUACUGUGUAUUUGGAGAGCAUCCUAACUGUAUUUCAGCAGAGCUUUUAAGUGAUUUCAGUCAAAACUGGAAAACAGGAUGUAGUAAUUUUUUUCCUUGUUCAAACCUUCAAUCAUUUGCUCAUUGAACUAUCUUUCUUGGCUGUGUUUUUAUUUGUAGAUGACUGACUACUGGCAGUAAGUAGGUCCACAUUUAUUCCCCACUCAGCCGCCUUACAGUAUCUGAGGAAAUGCACCAUUUCAAAGGGUUUCUACUUGAAAUCUUUUGUUGAAGGCCUGUAAUUCAGAAAGCUGCACAUGUUUACAGAAGAGCUCUUAUUCUCCAUGCACAUACAUUGCUCUGUGAACCAUGAUUGAAAAAUAUCACAGUUUUGAGACAACGGGAUGGCAGUCUGAGAACUACAAGGUGCUGUCGAGAAUCAAGUAAACUGUUAUUGGAGAUGUCGACACAGCCAUAGUACAUAACAGAGCUUCAUGCCAACUACUAAGACAAAGCUUUAACAAAGUUUAGAGAAUCACCGAAGGCAGAACAAUUACCUCUCUACAUUUUGCAGCAAGGAAUAUUGUUAAUUUGGUAGGAAGUGGAAGCAUUUAGGAAAGGAUUUAGUAUCUACCAAAAGUACCUGACCUCAAGUAACCAAUAGUAAUGCAAAAUGCUUUAAAGGAACCAAAGGCAUUGCCAAGUAUUUGCCAAAAGGAGGCACUUUUUAUUUAAAAUUUGAGACUAAUGAGAUCUCAAAAAUCAGUCCCAAAAAAGGUAUUAUCCACUUAAAGUUAUAAUUUUCACAGAGAUGUAGAUAUUCCUCUAUUGUUUUCAUGUAAAAUAGUAUACAGUUGUUUUGUUGGUUUAAGAAUAAUACAUAUUUGGUAGUAUUACAGUUUUUCCCUUUCUAUGUAGAAACUAGUUUUCUUGCUUGAAAUAGAAAUGCAAUGUGAUAGGUAUUUCUUAUUUUCAUUGUCACAUUAUGUCUUAGCAUCUCACUUUAUGAAAAAGAGGAGAAAGAUACCAAUCUUCAGAGCCCUGCUUGUUAAAAGCACUAGUUUAAUAAAUAAAAAGUUAUGGCAAUCGGGGGGUCCAUUCAUGUAUUGCCUUUAUGUUGUUUCUUAAAAGAAAAACCAUGAUGCCUUUGUAUUUGCUGUUUGCACCCCUGGAAUCAAUUCCAUAUCGUGUUUGAAUGCCAUACAUUUUGCACAUGUACUGUACAUAGGUAAUGCAUACUGUAUUUUUAUAUGUGUACACAUUUAUCAUCAGAUCUUUUGUACAUAGUGGCAGUAUCGUAGAUGAUCGGGAAAUGUUUGAUAUCUCAGCGAUUUUGCAUUUUUGUGUUCC